UGCCCGAUUGGUUCGCCCCCACCCCCGCUCGUGCCCCUCUCCUUCGCUCCCGUCCUUCCCCACCGCGCUCCUGUCCUCCCCCGCGUGCCGCCGCCGCGCCCCCCAUGCCCGACCUCGCGCUUCCCGACGCCUCCUCCCCACACUGAGGACUCCCCUUGCUCUGCCUCUUCUUCCUAUCAGGCUAGAACCGCGGCACACGGCCUCUCGCGCUUGCUCGCGGCCCACAGCCUGACUAGGGUUUCAGGCUGGGCAGCGCCUUCGCCGCCGGCGCGGCUCCGGUGGACUCCGACGGCUCCUCUCCGUAUCCUCCCUCCUAUUUCUGUUCAGGAAUCUAUCCACGAGCACCACCCCUUCCCAUGGCUACACCAGCGGGACAGAGGGUGAGUGAGUUGCCAUCAGCCACGGAUCCAGCCGGCGACCCACCCUCGGCAGUGCCCCACACCCAAUCUCGAUUGGAUCUGGGCGGAGCCCCACCCCAAGGAGCGGCCGAGAAGCCCUGUCAAAGCUAGACGCGGACCCCCAAUCCAUUGCUGUAGGAGUGCCCUUCGGCGGUGAGGAGGCCCAGGGUGACACGGCGCUGGUGCUCCCCAGCGCAGCCAUUUCACUGACGGCCAGGUGAUCUGUUCCCCUAAUAGAGGUGCUGGUGUUCUCCUUCAGUUCUAUGUUUCCAUAUUUCCAUUGAUUGUGCGUCUGAUAUUUUCGCAGGAUUGUUGUUGUCUCAAGUUCCUCGAAUUCCCGUACAUGCCCGAGUGCGAUUUGUGCUCGUCGUCGCCUUCCUGCCAUAGCUACAUCCACAGAUCUGCAGGUUCCAAGCAUCUUCGUUAUUCUCUAUGAUCGGCUACACCGCCGUAGUGUUUCAUAUGCAUCAUGUCCCAGGCAGUCAAAUGGAUUAUUGAAAUGAUUCGGGUGACUAAAGCUUCCUAGAUUGUGAAUGACUUUCUACAUUGGGGCAAACAGAGGGUCCGCGUUGAUUUUUUUGCUCUUGUUGAACAACUUAGAGGAGCCCAUGUGUGUAGGUUUGGCUAGCACGAGCCUGGUGCCAUUGGACACUAUUGUCGAGAGCCAUAUCCAACAAGCAGAUAGGCUAGAUGUUGUCGGGUGGCACCAGCAGCCUUGCCGGCUCCGCCCUGUAUCCAUGAUGUCGGGCAUAGUACAAUGGUAAGAUCCACUUCUUUAUGAUGGCGAGGAUGAUUGUUAGCCUGGCAUGUGGAGCUGUACUAAUAAGGUCUUCAUAUCACAGCACCAGAGCGUGUCUGGCAAGGCUUGCUCGCCAUGUCUUACCAUGUCAGUGAGACGAGAUUGGCCCCUUGUCGCCUGAUUCUCAUCUUUUUGGUCGAUCCUCUGGUCAGUGCCUCUUCGGUCUAUGCCUGCUCGUCAUCUACAAGCAGCCUCGUGUGUCUCUGUUCACGGAUCUUCAUGGCAGCUCCUCUUCUUCUCCUACUUUUCACUCCUCAUUGUUUACAGAACUAGGUGCACCGUUGUAUGUAUCGUCUUACCAUCCGAAUUUAGGUGUUGGCUCAGUCUGGAAUUAAUCUAAAAUAUUGUUUUGACUGAUGCUAAAUACAUGUCAACACUUAUGGUUAUCAUGUUUUUAAGCAUAAUGUUCUGUACAAUACUGAUAUACUUAGUAUGUUUACCUACAUAGUCCACGUCCUUAACCGUUUUAUUUUCUCAAUCAAUGUAGCUUGGUCUAUUGAAUCUUGAGUUUCUUUCCAUGGCAAUAAGGGGAUAUACUUAAUUGAUCUGCAAACAUCAAAUUCUGUUGAGUCUAAUGAUGCCUUAUUUUGUUCAAAUAAUUUGCUAAGAAUUUUUAUCUUUGGUAUACAUCUAAAGAAUUGUGUGUUUACUUUUGGACAACUAUACAUUGUUGUGUCUCAUGUACAUCAAGAGAAUCGCUAAAAAUACUUGCCGAAGAUGAAAAUGUAGAUUGUACUACUGAAACUCAGAAUAUCGUUUACCCUUAGGGGCAUGCCUCUGUUGGGGCCUUUUGAGAUAUCAGUGUACCAUCAUGGUGUUAUAUUUUGCAUUGUGUUUCCUUUUUUAUUUGUUUCAGGUUCAGCUGCCUUCGUCUGUGCAUAUCCUUUUCAUAUAACUGUUCAUCGGUAUGUAGAUUUACUGAAACUCAGAAUAUUGUUUACCCUUAGGGGCAUGUAACUGAAUUUGUUUGCAAGUUUUAUUCAUCGGUAUGAUAUAUGUUUACAGCACGCUAAAAUCAUAUCCAUUACCAUCUCAAUGUCUUGUUUGCCGUACAUUAGUAUGGCGUGCUUAAUCCAACAUGAUAUCUGUUCCUUUCGUUAGCAGGGAAUGAGCUGGAAAUUAAUUGAAAUCUUCAGAGUUCACAAUUUGCCUUUUCAAUGCCCCGAAAUACUUCCAUCGUGGGCACAAGAAUGUCAGGAAGGGGUGGGGCUAACCCCUAUUUUGGUGACCAUCUCUUCAUGCCCUGUUGAAUAUAACUUCUCCACCUAAUGACAUCUGUCGAGGGGGCAACACCAAACCAGCAAGCCCGAGGCGCCACUGGCAUGGAUAGGGGUGGUCGUUAUAACAUAAGGAUAAUAUGCACAUGGAAGUACUACUAUUGGGCCAAUUUAUGCCAGGUGUACAUCAAGAUGUUUCAAAUAUAUAGAUCCAUGAUGUCGGGCAUAGUACAAUGGUAAGAUCCACUUCUUUAUGAUGGCGAGGAUGAUUGUUAGCCUGGCAUGUGGAGCUGUACUAAUAAGGUCUUCAUAUCACAGCACCAGAGCGUGUCUGGCAAGGCUUGCUCGCCAUGUCUUACCAUGUCAGUGAGACGAGAUUGGCCCCUUGUCGCCUGAUUCUCAUCUUUUUGGUCGAUCCUCUGGUCAGUGCCUCUUCGGUCUAUGCCUGCUCGUCAUCUACAAGCAGCCUCGUGUGUCUCUGUUCACGGAUCUUCAUGGCAGCUCCUCUUCUUCUCCUACUUUUCACUCCUCAUUGUUUACAGAACUAGGUGCACCGUUGUAUGUAUCGUCUUACCAUCCGAAUUUAGGUGUUGGCUCAGUCUGGAAUUAAUCUAAAAUAUUGUUUUGACUGAUGCUAAAUACAUGUCAACACUUAUGGUUAUCAUGUUUUUAAGCAUAAUGAUCUGUACAAUACUGAUAUACUUAGUAUGUUUACCUACAUAGUCCACGUCCUUAACCGUUUUAUUUUCUCGAUCAAUGUAGCUUGUUCUAUUGAAUCUUGAGUUUCUUUCCAUGGCAAUAAGGGGAUAUACUUAAUUGAUCUGCAAACAUCAAAUUCUGUUGAGUCUAAUGAUGCCUUAUUUUGUUCAAAUAAUUUGCUAAGAAUUUUUAUCUUUGGUAUACAUCUAAAGAAUUGUGUGUUUACUUUUGGACAACUAUACAUUGUUGUGUCUCAUGUACAUCAAGAGAAUCGCUAAAAAUACUUGCCGAAGAAGAAAAUGUUGAUUGUACUACUGAAACUCAGAAUAUCGUUUACCCUUAGGGGCAUGCCUCUGUUGGGGCCUUUUGAGAUAUCAGUGUACCAUCGUGGUGUUAUAUUUUGCAUUGUGUUUCCUUUUUUAUUUGUUUCAGGUUCAGCUGCCUUCGUCUGUGCAUAUCCUUUUCAUAUAACUGUUCAUCGGUAUGUAGAUUUACUGAAACUCAGAAUAUCGUUUACCCUUAGGGGCAUGUAACUGAAUUUGUUUGCAAGUUUUAUUCAUCGGUAUGAUAUAUGUUUACAGCACGCUAAAAUCAUAUCCAUUACCAUCUCAAUGUCUUGUUUGCCGUACAUUAGUAUGGCGUGCUUAAUCCAACAUGAUAAUUGUUCCUUUCGUUAGCAGGGAAUGAGCUGGAAAUUAAUUGAAAUCUUCAGAGUUCACAAUUUGCCUUUUCAAUGCCCCGAAAUACUUCCAUCGUGGGCACAAGAAUGUCAGGAAGGGGUGGGGCUAACCCCUAUUUUGGUGACCAUCUCUUCAUGCCCUGUUGAAUAUAACUUCUCCACCUAAUGACAUCUGUCGAGGUAUCUCUAAAGCCAAUGCAUUUAACUUUGUGUGUGAUAGCGUUGGAAGUACCCAUGUUUGGGUCCUCUGAAUAUCUCGACAGAUGUAUUUCAUGAUUGGUUGAUACAAUGAACCGUCGGUCGAGGUAUCUCCACCUAAUGACCAUCUCUUCAUGCCCUGUUGAAUAUAACUUCUCCACCUAAUGACAUCUGUCGAGGUAUCUCUAAAGCCAAUGCAUUUAACUUUGUGUGUGAUAGCGUUGGAAGUACCCAUGUUUGGGUCCUCUGAAUAUCACUAUGUUACAGAUACAACUCAAUUUAAAACAAAAAUUAUGUUUUUGUACUACUUAUGUAUAAUGUAAAUUCUAGAACCUUUAGCCAGUAAUUCAUGAUUGGUUGAUACAAUGAACCGUCGGACCUUUGCUUCUGAUUAUUCUGCCAAUUCUCUAGAAGCACAACAAAUUAUCUUCUAGAAAGUAAUACUGUUAAAUGGUAUAUGGUUCUGAAGUAGUAAUAACCUAAAAAUAGACCUCUCUCAUUAUAUGGUUCUGAAGUAAUAACCUAUAUUUAUAAUAGCUAUAAGGUAUGGGUUCUCCAGAAGUUUUUCAUUGUUACACUAGAAUCAACUUAAAUAAGUGUCAGUGCCAACUUAAUCUACAGAUUGGCUGCAUGUGUGGAAUUAGAUUUAUUGUGAGACUUGUACUACCUGAGUGUGUCAGAAGGAACUAAUUUAGAUAACAGGUGCAUCUGAACAAUAAUCAUGUGAUAUUUCAAGUAUCAAACCGACAAAAUGAGAUAGGAAGAAGAACAUCAACCUGUUGACCUUUUAAAAUGAGACAUUGAAGCAUCCUUUUGUAGACCUUUGGUUCCUCUGUCAUCAUCUAGACCUUUGAGUAUUGUAUCAUAUGGAAGCCCUCUGUUGGUGUCCAGUGGAGAAGGAACAAACAUUGAGUACAUUCAGCUGUUUUUUCCUGGGUACUAGAUUCGCUGAAACAUUCAGCAACCUGUGUCGCAUGCACAGGCGACAAAGAAAAGGUUUGCUCCAUUACAAUAAUUGACCUAGAAGUGUAGCUACAUAUUUAAAAUAACACUUCAGUAUUAUUUCUUGUCCUUGUAAUAUAUGAAAAUGCUUCACUUCAAAUAAUGUAAUUCCAUCAGUAUUUAGCUAGAGUAAUAAGCACCCUUCAGUUUUGUUUUGUCCGAACUAGAUGCAGAAUCCCAUUAUAACGAUAUACUCCCUCCAUUCCUAAAUAUAUGUAUUUUUAGAUAUUCCAGUAAGGGCUACAUACAGAGAGAGAUGAGUGAACCUACAUUCUAAAGUAUGUCUAUAUACAUCUGUAAGUAGUCCGUAUUGAAAUAUCCAAAAAACUUAUAUUUUAUAACAUAGGGAGUAGCAGAUCGGAAACACGCCUUGGCAUGUGGUGCCUGGCUGAAAGUUUUGUCUCAGCGUUUAAACAAACCACAAUAUUGUUGCUACUUGGUAUAGGAUCAUUUGUCAAAGCCAUAGCAUAAGGCAAGGCAAUCACAUGUACCAAAUGCAGAGCAACCAUGAAGGAUUUUGUCAACCAUUCGGCUGGAAGUUCAUGAGGAAUGGACAUUUAUACUUUUCAUAUAGAUAAAGUCACAUAUGCCGAGAGCAACUGUCUUGUCGCCCAUGAAGCUCUCUUUUUAUAAUUAAAUUUUCAGGAAAAUACCACUGUAUGAUUAUAUCGGUUUAACUCCAGUCCACAUUCUUUACUUUGUCAAGUGCAUGCUAUAGUUCACAUAGUAACUCCAUUUAGGCCAUGUUCGUUUAAUCCCCUCGCCACAGGGAUUGGAGGGGAUUGGGGAGGUUUGAUGAGGAUUUUGACUUGCAAGGGAUUUAAUCCCCUCCAAUCCCUUUCAAACCUCUCCAAACCCUGCCUAACCGAACAAGGCCUUAUGGGUAUUUUACUUUGUCAAGUGCAUGAUAUGGUUCAUAGAAAAAUUCUGUUUCCACUUAUAAGUCAGUGAUGUUCUCACCUUAGAUUUUAUUUUUUGUAAUUGUAGAAAGUGGGGAUGGACAUCCAUGGAUCUGCCAUUCCUGAUUUGCUUUGUGGAGGUAUGAUCUUUCAUAAUGUGUUAACAUAUCUCUGGAAUAAGUUCUUAUGUUUAGUACAAUAGUUUGGCUGAUUAUUUUUUAGAGGCUUUUUUUGGAAAGGCUUCAACAAGCUGCUUGAAUUACUGCCUUAGGUUCGUAAAAUUUGAACCUUUAACUUUAUCUUGGUUUCAACCAUCAAGGAUUUAGUGACAUGUUCUUAAUGAUAUAUAGAGGAGUAGGCAGUAGUGCAUGGUAAUAACAAAAAUACAUCAUGUGUGUGUGCAUGACACAUGCCCAUGAUUCAUAAUGAUUUGCGACAGUCUUAGAAGAAAAUUUCCCAUUGCUGUUCAACCCCUUUUGAGUGUUAUUUGCAAGUUCAUCCGUUAGUGAAACAUUUACCCUUUCUUGUUUUACUGCUCUGUCUCCCUACUUUUAUGGCAGAGAAUGGUGUGGCUUCAUAUACAACAAAUGUUCUCUACUCUUGCAGCUCAUGUAUUAUUCUUGACAAGGUUUGUCUACACUUAUCUUUAAGGCUACAACCUGGAGUCUCAUGGGUGUGUGAAGAUGAUACCUAAGUAAUCUAGGGCUUUGUUAGGGGUUCACUUAUGUAUACUAUUUCCCUGUAUAUCACUGUAACCUGCUUUAUGGUUUAGAUUUGAGCACUGGACCAUGGUGCUGGACAGGGCACGGCGCCCUAAGACUGCUCUUUGGAAUUCCAAUAUACUUGGAGAUAGAAGUGAAAGUUGAGGAUCAACAAGUAUGUUGUAUGGUCGAUGCCCCCUUCUAUAGCAUUGUUUUUGGAAAUGCACUAACGCUCCUAGAAGGUUGCUCUGAGUAUAUUUGUAUAUUUGUUACAACAAGUAAGAUCUGGUAUGAAAUCUGCCAAUGUCAUGUGAUAAACCUUGAUGUUUAGUACUGAAUCAUUACAAAGUGUUUACUAACCUCAUUUUUGAGGUGUACCUUUGUAGCGAAGUUGUUUUUUUGUAUAACUCCAGCCUAUAUUGGCUACCUGCCUUCUUAUAUAUGGAUGUGCUGCAAACAUUGUUUUA